GUUGUUGUGGUCGAGCGGGCAAGGCGAUGGAUUAGAAAUCCUUUGGGGUCUCCCCGCACAGGUUUGAAUCCUGUCGACAACG